ACGGAAGGCAGCAGUGGGGAAUAUCGCACAAUGGGGGAAACCCUGAUGCAGCGACGCCGCGUGAGUGAAGAAGUAUUUCGGUAUGUAAAGCUCUAUCAGCAGGAAAGAAAAUGACGGUACCUGACUAAGAAGCCCCGGCUAACUACGUGCCAGCAGCCGCGGUAAUACGUAGGGGGCAAGCGUUAUCCGGAUUUACUGGGUGUAAAGGGAGCGUAGACGGCUUUGCAAGUCUGAAGUGAAAGCCCGGGGCUCAACCCCGGAACUGCUUUGGAAACUGUAGAGCUAGAGUGCAGGAGAGGUAAGUGGAAUUCCUAGUGUAGCGGUGAAAUGCGUAGAUAUUAGGAGGAACACCAGUGGCGAAGGCGGCUUACUGGACUGUAACUGACGUUGAGGCUCGAAGGCGUGGGGAGCAAACAGGAUUAGAUACCCUGGUA
rnacentral:rRNA from 1 species